rnacentral:pre_miRNA from 1 species
CUCCUACUCCCUCCGUCCGAAAAUACUUGUCAUCAAACUGGAUAAAAAAGAUGUAUCUAGAACUAAAAUACAUCUAGAUACAUCCCCUUUUAUCUAUUUUGAUGACAAGUAUUUCUGGAUGGAGGGAGUAUUUA